rnacentral:rRNA from 1 species
AGCGAAUAGAUACCCAGGUAGUCCACGCCGUAAACGAUGCACACUAGCUAUCAGAAAGCAUCGACCCUUCUUGUAGCGAAGCUAACGCGUUAAGUGUGCCGCCUGUGGAGUACGGUCGCAAGACUAAAACAUAAAGGAAUUGACGGGGGAUCGCACAAGCGGUGGAGCAUGUGGUUUAAUUCGACGAUAAACGGAGAACCUUACCAAGGUUUGACAUCUUCCGAAAGCCCUGGAAACAGGGCCGUGCCCGCAAGGGAACGGAAUGACAGGUGUUGCACGGCCGCCGUCAGCUCGUGGCGUGAGCUGUGCCCUUAAGUGGGUAAACGAGCGAAACCCUCAUCGUCUGUUGGAUUUUUCAGACGAGACUGCCCGAUUUCUCGGGAGGAAGGUGAGGACGACGUCAGGUCAGCGUGGCCCUUACGCCUUGGGCUACACACAUGCUACAAUGGCACAGACAAA